GCCGGGCGUGGUGAUGCAUACCUGUAGUCUCAGCUACUUGAGAGGCUGAGGCACAAGAAUCACUUGAACCUGGGAGCCUGAGGUGGCAGUGAGCCAAGAUUGCACCACUGCACUUCAGCCUGGGUGACAAAGCGAUAUUCUGUCUCAA
ensembl:misc_RNA Metazoa_SRP Metazoan signal recognition particle RNA